GGAGUCUUAUGGCUUGGGGAUAAAAACUGUUGAGAAGCCUUUUUGUCCUAGACUUUGGCACUUCCGUACCGCUUGCCAUGCGGAAGUAGACUAGUGAAUCAUAUUAGUGGUUUGCAUCCUAAAAAAAAAGCAUAGCUGUGUUUUUCUGCGUAACACACAUUAUUUGUCUACCAAUAUGAUGCGGAUCAUUGUCAGGUUAUUAGAUAUAUAAGCUUCAGUAACAACAGAACAACAUGGUUGUAAGAACACUUUAAAACAGGUCAUUUAUAAAUGUGUAGAAUGUGUUUGUUUUGGUUCCACACUGGUAAGUUAACUGAUGUAAAUUAGACAGUCACAGAGGAUUUCCUUCUGAAUAAAUGUUGAAACCCAGAAUGAUUCUCACCACUGGUUCACAUAACUAGACAUGAGCUGGACGUGAUCCUAACGCUGCCACCAAUGUAGUGGAAGAAAGUGAAAGAUGCAACAGCGACUCUAACCAGGGCUCAUACGUGGCAAAGUGAACUCUUAACGGUCGUUGCCAUGAAAGCCUAGUAGUCCUCUGGGCAGAGGCAGUAGGUCUACAAUGCUGGCAUAUGCCUUGUUACAACAGCCUAAGUAUAUAACCUGAUUGACACGACCGUAAUAACCAUCAUGAAACGGCCUUGGAAGUGCCAUAAGUGUAAGCCAACAUAAUUCAUUAUUUUACAUUAACAUGUCUAACUACAUUGAUAUGGCUUAAUAGAUCAUAGUCCAGACUCGUUAUAAUUGCAAAUACCAGGCAGUUGCAACAGGGACAUUUAAACCAAACAUAUUAUUUUUUGCAGGUCUUCUGUUUCCCCAUAUUUAUUGAUAAAUUCAUUUACCGUCAUGCAAAUGUAUCCCCAUUCACCAAUGAAAUACCUUCAUUGAUACCUUAAAAAUAACAUACAAAUACAGGUUUACACUCCAGUCUGGAAACCCUCAUAAAAUCGGACAUAGCAACAGUAUCCCAAAAUAUUAAGCGAAAACAAGCAGAGAAAACAGCAUUGGCAUUAAUAAAAAUAAAACCUGUAAGGCUAUUAUUAUAUUAUAUUUAAUUCGUUGACAACCUGUUUGAUUAACAAUAUUGGGUUGUUAACAUGUGGAAUACAAAAAAGGCAGUGUACAACACCAUUGCCCAAAAUGCUUUGCUCCAAUACGUUUCAAAAGAUUGUUCCGAAGUUUGCCCACAAAAAAAAGGUAUUUUCCUAUGAAUGAAGUCGCACAAAAAAUGUAUUUUCACACAAAUUAAGCCACACAAAAAUGCACGAAAUCUGCUGAAAUACUAUUUAUGCAUAUGUAACAGCGUAGGUUCCGUCCCUCUCUUCGCCCCAACCUGGGCUCGAACCAGGGACCCUUGCACACAUCAACAACCGACACCCACGAAGCAUCGUUACCCAUCGCGCCACAAAAGCCGCGGCCCUUACAACACAACGACGUCACUGAUUGAAACGCUAUUAGCGCGCACCACCGCUAACUAACUAGCCAUUUCACAUCGGUUACACUUAUUUUCACGACUUGAGUGUGCUAUUGUGUUACACCAAAACAUAGACGAAAUGUCACAUACAUGCUUGUCUGAAGGUUCAUAUUACAAUACGGAAGAGAAGAAUAGAUCUGCAAUAUUGAACUGAGCUUUAGGGUAGGUGAGGUACAGCGGAGGGAUCAUGAAACCAUGGGGCUAAAAUAGAUAUCUCUGAGGUUGGUUGAUGUCCCACACACACACACAGACUCAGAACCCUUCUAAAACAGACCCCUGGGGAUGAUCAGUCCAGUGGGGACUAGACUAUAGCCUACUAGAAUAUGAUAUAUCCAUCUUCAUGACUGGGGGAAUCAUUGUUGUGUUGUCAAAAUAUUUGUAACGCCACACCCCUAGAUCCACCUGCUCAGUACUCGAGGACAUUAGAAUGAUGAAUGGUAGCAAAGGUUUACAUAAUGUUUAGACUAAAUGUUUU
rnacentral:lncRNA from 1 species